AAAGAAAAAUUCAGUUUAGGGUUUAAAACCCUAAUGCUGACUGCAUGGAAAAAGCUCAGUUUAGGGUUUAAAACCCUAAUGCUGGCUGAAAAGGAAAAAGUUCAGUUUAGGGUUUAAAACCCUAAUGCUGACUAAAAGGAAAAUUCAGUUUAGGGUUUAAAACCCUAAUGCUGAUUGCAUGGAAAAGCUCAGUUUAGAGUUUAAAACUCUAAUGCUGGCUGAAAGGAAAAAGUUCAGUUUAGGGUUUAAAACCCUAAUGCUGAUUAAAAGGAAAAUUCAGUUUAGGGUUUAAAACCCUAAUGCUGAUUGCAUGAAAAAGCUCAGUUUAGAGUUUAAAACUCUAAUGCUGGCUGAAAGGAAAAAAUUCAGUUUAGGGUUUAAAACCCUAAUGCUGAUUAAAAGGAAAAUUCAGUUUAGGGUUUAAAACCCUAAUGCUGAUUACACGAAAAAGCUCAGUUUAGAGUUUAAAACUCUAAUGUUGGCUGGAAGGAAAAAGUUCAGUUUAGUGUUUAAAACCCUAAUGCUGACUAAAAAGGAAAAUUCAGUUUAGGUUUAAAACCCUAAUGCUUAUUGCAUGGAAAAGCUCAGUUUAGAGUUUAAAACUCUAAUGCUGGCUAAAAGGAAAAAGUUC
rnacentral:lncRNA from 1 species